UACGUAGGGGGCAAGCGUUGUCCGGAAUCAUUGGGCGUAAAGAGCGUGUAGGCGGUCCGGUAAGUCGGCUGUGAAAGUCCAGGGCUCAACCCUGGGAUGCCGGUCGAUACUGCCGGACUAGAGUUCGGAAGAGGCGAGUGGAAUUCCUGGUGUAGCGGUGAAAUGCGCAGAUAUCAGGAGGAACACCGGUGGCGAAGGCGGGACUCUGGGCCGAUACUGACGCUGAGGAGCGAAAGCGUGGGGAGCAAACAGG
rnacentral:rRNA from 1 species